rnacentral:rRNA from 1 species
UACAGAGGUGGCAAGCGUUGUUCGGAAUUACUGGGCGUAAAGGGCGCGUAGGCGGUCUUGCAAGUCCCGUGUGAAAUCCCUCGGCUCAACUGAGGAACUGCACGGGAAACUGCUUGGCUUGAGUUCGGGAGAGGGAAGCGGAAUUCCGGGUGUAGCGGUGAAAUGCGCAGAGAUCAGGAGGAACACCCGUAGCGAAGGCGGCACUCUGGGCCGAUACUGACACUGAGGAGCGAAAGCGUGGGGAGCGAACAGG